rnacentral:rRNA from 1 species
AUUGAACGCUGGCGGCAGGCCUAACACAUGCAAGUCUAGCGAGCGGCGGACGGGUGAGUAAUGUAUGGGGAUCUGCCCGAUAGAGGGGGAUAACUACGGGAAACUGUAGCUAAUACCGCGUACCAUAGGAUGAGCACAAGUGGGAUGAGGUAGUUGGUGUGGGAAAGGCUCACCAAGCCGACCAUCUCUAGCUGGUCUAAGAGGAUGACCAGCCACACUGGCACUGAGACACGGCCCAGACUCCUACGGGAGGCAGCAGGGGGGAAUAUUGCUCAAUGGGGGCAACCCUGACGCAGCCAUGCCGCGUGAAUGAAGAAGGCCUUCGGGUUGUAAAGUACUUUCAGCGGGGAGGCUUUACCCGCAGAAGAAGCACCGGCUAACUCCGUGCCAGCAGCCGCGGUAAUUC